rnacentral:ncRNA from 1 species
GCCGUCAACAGACGGCAAAUAUUAGCCUUGAUAUGUCUGGGUGGACGCUUCUUGCAUGACCGUUGACUGCGUUAGACGGUUUCAUACCCAGUGGCAUUACGCGGUAUAUCACGCAAACCGGAUUGCGCCAAGGUUUACCAAAGCAAUGUCCGUAUACCGUACAAGGUGUUUUUAGCAAUUUUAUUUUUA